ACCAACCCUAGCCAUGCCCUCGCCGCCACCUCUCCUUCCCCGUUCAUCCUCUCCAGCAGCCGGCGCCACCUCUGUCUCUCCUCCUUUCUCAUCAUGGCGAGUGCCCACCCGUUGGAUCAGGUGGUCAGUGCGGGAUGCAAUAGCGCAUCUGGACGGAGGAGAACGCGACGACUCCAUCUCCUGGCAACGGCAGGGAGGACGGGUGGAUGAGGAGGCAACAGCUCGAGAGGUAGGCAAGGAAACGGCUCAAUGCCUCCUUGGAACUCCACCCUAUGUAACUUCCUCCUCCUGAUUCCUUCCUCUCUAAAUUAAUUUAGGAUUUGGGUGUGUAGUUUUUAUGGUGGGUGUGAAGGAUCUUGGGAAGGUGAGGAGGACGGAGGUGGGGGAAGGACUGCGAGUCCGGAGAAUCCAGGCUGCACAUAUAAAUCCUCUCCAUCUUCCUCUCCCUUUUGAUUCCCCCAGUUCUCCAGUAAUCUGAUUUUGAUUUCUUAUUUUUUUUCCUAAGCACAAUGUGUGCAGAUCUGAGAAAGAGUAGAAGAGGAAGAAUACCAAGGAAGAGUUUGGUGAAGAAGAAUAAGGUGACAAUGUGAGUUGCAUUGACAGAAUCCAUGUAUUAAGCUGGGGCAUUUUUGGCAGCUGCAGCAACCUGACAAUUAAUUUGUUCUCAUCCAAGUUGGGAACUUCUAGAAAAAAAUGACAUUUGGUUGGUUCGAUUCCAGAUUGGUCUCACCUUAUUCCUUUUAGAUGGAUGCUAUGGUCUUCCCUGCAGAUGCUGGCCAGUUAAGGUUUGUUGCAAAUAAUAGUGGAUGUUGGGCUGCCUCCACACCGCAAGAGAUGGAGAUGGUUGACGUCAGAACCGGUGGUUGAGGUCGAGUACGCCUCGUUGUCGUCGCCGUCUACAUCCGUUACGUGUGAGGAACUUGCUGUUGCUGGCACCAGAUUCAGCAGGGAGGAUAUCUAUGAGGCCUUUCAUUCUUGUGGGAUUCCCACACAUCUUGCAAGUUCAAGGGGGUGAGCUCAGCUGAAUGCGCGGCGACGUAUUGUACCUUUGCAAGCCGAGUAUCUUGCUCUAAUUUGUUGACAGGGUAAGAGAGGGCUCAAGAAAGAGACAAGAACUUGUGCUUCAAGCAGCGAAUAUAGCCAGCCUAGAUGAAUCAAAACAAGAACAAGUGUCGGAAAGUUACAGAUGAGGAAGUGCAGCUGAUAUGGCCUCUCCGUUUUUGCCCCAAAUCAACCACGGAAAAAACUGCUGGACAAUCAACUUCUUGCCAAUUUAUAGUUGACUUCCUGCUAUGAUUCUCUUCCUAAAAGAAAUUGCAAUCAUCUUGAAACAAGCUACUAUGUGCAUGUCAGGGACAGAAGUUGCUAAAGAAAGCUCCGACAUUAUAAUCUUAGAUGAUGACUUCGCAUCUGUUGUGAAGGGCAAAUCUUCACUGAAUCUUGGAGAGUGAUGGAAGAUAAUGGGCCCAAGCUUUUACGAACGCCAAGGAUCCAAUUUCAAGCUUUGGCCUCUUCCACAAAUUUGCCGUUCAAUCAGGAGCCACCUAGGUGAUCAUUGCAUAGGUCUACUGGAAAUUGGUCCUAGAGGAGCUCUCCAUGAAGUUUCUACAAGAACCAAAAUCAAUCCUACAAGCAUCAGAUAUAUCAAAGGAGGAAGCAUGGUUCCCAAGUGCAUUGCUUAAUAUUGAUGAAUGUUGUCUACAACCAUGGCCUUCCCAAAACAAGACAACACAAUUAUUCUCUGGAGGGACAAGGGAUCUGAUGAUUAUCCAGUGAACUGUAUGUCUCUGAAGGAGCUUUGCACUCAACAGAUGUAUACAUCUUUAAUCAAACUAAGAGUGGGAGAUAUGCAUAAACAUUUUUUGGGAUACAUAACCACUCUUCGAACCUUAGCCAGAUUCUCAAUCUUUGGGGUUAAUCUUUUUGUGAAAAGAAUUUCAUGAACAUGGAAAAAUGGCCAACUUUGCUUUGUACAAAAAAGGUAGACAUGAUAAUCUAUUUAUCUCUCACUGAACUACUCUGAAUUUUGUGGUACCUGGUGAAGUUUAAAAAAUGGUUAUUCCUUGCUACCUUUAAUGAUAAAUGAUAUUGAA